AAGUGAGGACCCUUUCUUGUUUGUGAAAAGACGAUGAUGUCGUCGCAGAAUGAGAAUAGGUCGUUGGAGGAAGCUGGACCCUCCGGCUCCUCCGAUGGAGGGGUAGGAGUGAAUUGGCUCUGCAUGAGCCCUAAGCGAGAUCACAACCCCGAAAACUAUGACGACCUUCAAUUCGAGUUCAAUCCUAAUCUCUUCGCCUCUCUCGAGCACUAUUUGCCUCCUCAUAUGCUCAACCUCUCACGCGAUGUUAAGCUUCACUACAUCAGGAACAUUCUUCUUCGCUAUUUGCCUGAGAAUGACCGCAACUGGAUUCAAAAGCUGAGGGAAUACAGGCUAAAGAUCAUAUUGAAUUAUCCAUCGUUGCAUAAGGAGAUAUUUACUAUGGAUGCUGAGAACUUUUUCGUACCAUCAUUUCUCAGAGCAAUUAAAGAAAACACAGAAGCGAAUUUUAGAAGUAUAAUGGCUGAACCUUGUAAAGGAGUUUAUACAUUUGAAAUGCUUCAACCUCAAUUUUGUAAAAAACUGAUGUCUGAGGUGGAUCAUUUUGAAAGAUGGGUCCAUGGUACCAAACUCAAAAUCAUGCGUCCUAAUGCAAUGAAUAAAAAUAAACAUGGUGUUAUUCUUGAUGAUUUUGCCUUUGAAGCCAUGCUUGACAGAUUUAUGUGUGAUUUCAUACGUCCUAUAUCUCAAGUUUUCUACCCUGAACUUGGUGGAUCCUCAUUGGACUCUCACCAUGGUUUUGUUGUUGAAUAUGGAAUUAAUAAGGAUGUGGAACUUGGCUUACAUGAGGAUGAGGCAGAAGUCACCUUAAAUGUUUGCUUGGGAAAAGAAUUUUCUGGUGGAGAACUGUUCUUCCAGGGUGUUCGAUGUGAUGCACAUGUAACAUCAAAUGCGCAACCAGAGGAGGCCUUCAAUUAUUCCCAUGUUCCAGGACACGCAAUUCUUCAUCCUGGUCGUAACCGGCAUGGUGCUAGACCUACAACAUCUGGGAAUCGGAUGAAUUUAAUUCUCUGGUGUAGAAGAUUGCAAAUUUAUAGGCAUAGUUCUGGUCAAUUACUUAGUGCAUCAACCUUCAUGUUGUCACACAGUUCGGUGUUUAGAGAGUUGAAAAGAUAUCAGAGAGAUUUUUAUAGCUGGUGUGGAGAAUGCAAACAGAAGAAGGCGGAGAGAGUGUGUUUGUCAGUUAUGGCCACCAAACAGGAAUUACUGAAGAGCGAAAUAUAAUUGGCCUCGUGAACUUUCACAUGCAAAUUAUGUUUAGUUCGCCAUUUGUUGAGAAUGAAAUUUUUGUGGCAGCGUAGAACUGCAUCAGGGUAUUCGGCUGGUGUGGAGAAUGCAGACGGAAGAAGGAGCUACAUGUAGGAACAACGACCAAGAUUUAUUGUUAAUGUUGUCAUCUUCCAUGGAACUAAUUGUGUCUUCAAUUUGCUGGAAACACAACAUUGAGUUUCUUUAUUGAAGAGGGAAAUGCAAUUGGCCUCGUGAACCAGUUGAUUCACAUGCAAGUCGUGCUUGUAUAGUUGAUUCACCAUUGAGCUUCUUUACUGAUUCGGACAGUGUUGUCAUCUUUGACUGAAAGUAACCGUGCAACUAGAAAAGGCAUUUAAUAUGCCAUGAAAAAGUUCACUCUUUACAGUAGCCAACUUGACAACUUGAUUCAGUUGUGACAAACUAUGUUGGUUUUAUGACCUUAUCACUACAAUAAUUGAACACGACUUCUACAGGUAAACAUAAA